CUCGUAGGCGGUUCGUCGCGUCCGGUGUGAAAGUCCAUCGCUUAACGGUGGAUCCGCGCCGGGUACGGGCGGGCUUGAGUGCGGUGGGGGAGACUGGAAUUCCCGGUGUAACGGUGGAAUGUGUAGAUAUCGGGAAGAACACCAAUGGCGAAGGCAGGUCUCUGGGCCGUCACUGACGCUGAGGAGCGAAAGCGUGGGGAGCGAACA
rnacentral:rRNA from 1 species